GUGAACGCUGGCGGUAGGCCUAACACAUGCAAGUCGAACGGCAGCACAGUAAGAGCUUGCUCUUACGGGUGGCGAGUGGCGGACGGGUGAGGAAUACAUCGGAAUCUACUUUUUCGUGGGGGAUAACGUAGGGAAACUUACGCUAAUACCGCAUACGACCUACGGGUGAAAGCAGGGGAUCUUCGGACCUUGCGCGAUUGAAUGACCCGAUGUCGGAUUAGCUAGUUGGCGGGGUAAAGGCCCACCAAGGCGACGAUCCGUAGCUGGUCUGAGAGGAUGAUCAGCCACACUGGAACUGAGACACGGUCCAGACUCCUACGGGAGGCAGCAGUGGGGAAUAUUGGACAAAGGGCGCAAGCCUGAUCCAGCCAUACCGCGUGGGUGAAGAAGGCCUUCGGGUUGUAAAGCCCUUUUGUUGGGAAAGAAAAGCAGCAGGUUAAUACCCCGCUGUUCUGACGGUACCCAAAGAAUAAGCACCGGCUAACUUCGUG
rnacentral:rRNA from 1 species